rnacentral:rRNA from 1 species
UACGUAGGGCGCAAGCGUUAUCCGGAAUUAUUGGGCGUAAAGAGCUCGUAGGCGGUUUGCCGCGUCUGCCGUGAAAGUCCGGGGCUCAACUCCGGAUCUGCGGUGGGUACGGGCAGACUAGAGUGAUGUAGGGGAGACUGGAAUUCCUGGUGUAGCGGUGAAAUGCGCAGAUAUCAGGAGGAACACCGAUGGCGAAGGCAGGUCUCUGGGCAUUAACUGACGCUGAGGAGCGAAAGCCAGGGGAGCAAACGGG